CAGGGAGACAAUAAGCUAUAGGAAUCCGUCUUUAAAAAUAGGACAGGUGAAAGUGGACCAAUCAAAGUGAAAUACUGCCCCCCAGUGGCUAAUUUGGAUCAAGCCAGAGAGCCGUAGCCUGUGGUGGCUGCUGGCAAAUCUGAGCACAUACAUAAAUAUGGCGGAGAGAACCUGUGUGUCCAGACCUUUUCUUGAACGGCUUGGGUCAUUCGGGUCAUUAAUACUCUCGUGUCUCUACUGAAAGGAAGAGGAAUAUGCCUCACGGCUACAGUAAAUUACCUACCAAAGCUCAGACCCAGAGGCAAGAAAGCUGAGUAAAACCAAAGACAUAACCAGGAGGAUGGAAACUUAGAGCGCCCCACACCAGGUGUACUCCUUCAGUCAAUAAACACAACUGACUUCAGCGUCGAGUUAGCAAGAAGAAUUAGCCGAAAUUAGAAACUACUGGAUGUCAUGCCCCCCUCCCCCACUCUUCCAAGCCCAGACACAAGCAGGAGAAUAAAGGUGUGGGCAUACAGAAAAAGGACUGCCUUCUACCUUCUCUCCCAUCCCUGAUGUCCCUUCGCUCUCAAGUCAUAGGUGGCAAUGGAAAAAGUACUGAUUGGAUC
rnacentral:lncRNA from 1 species